GGAAUAUUGGACAAUGGGCGAAAGCCUGAUCCAGCAACGCCGCGUGAGGGAUGACGGCCUUCGGGUUGUAAACCUCUUUCAGCAGGGACGAAGCGAGAGUGACGGUACCUGCAGAAGAAGGACCGGCCAACUACGUGCCAGCAGCCGCGGUAAUACGUAGGGUCCGAGCGUUGUCCGGAAUUAUUGGGCGUAAAGGGCUCGUAGGCGGUUUGUCGCGUCGGGAGUGAAAACUCAGGGCUCAACCCUGAGCGUGCUUCCGAUACGGGCAGACUAGAGGUAUUCAGGGGAGAACGGAAUUCCUGGUGUAGCGGUGGAAUGCGCAGAUAUCAGGAGGAACACCGGUGGCGAAGGCGGUUCUCUGGGAAUUACCUGACGCUGAGGAGCGAAAGCAUGGGGAGCGAACA
rnacentral:rRNA from 1 species